rnacentral:rRNA from 1 species
UACAGAGGUCUCAAGCGUUGUUCGGAAUUACUGGGCGUAAAGCGCACGUAGGCGGAUUGUUAAGUUAGGGGUGAAAUCCCGGGGCUCAACCCCGGAACUGCCUUUAAUACUGGCAAUCUCGAGUCCGAGAGAGGUGAGUGGAAUUCCGAGUGUAGAGGUGAAAUUCGUAGAUAUUCGGAGGAACACCAGUGGCGAAGGCGGCUCACUGGCUCGGUACUGACGCUGAGGUGCGAAAGCGUGGGGAGCAAACAGGG